UUGGAGGGCAAGUCUGGUGCCAGCAGCCGCGGUAAUUCCAGCUCCAAUAGCGUAUAUUAAAGUUGUUGCAGUUAAAAAGCUCGUAGUUGAACUUCGGGGUCUACCCAUUGGUCAGGCUUAAUUGUCUGCACUGGUGAGAUGGAUCUCUACCUUCUGAGGAACUUUCAUGCCAUUUAUUUGGUGUGGUUGGAAAUCAGGACUGUUACUUUGAAAAAAUUAGAGUGUUUAAAGCAGACUAUUGUCUGAAUACAUUAGCAUGGAAUAAUGAAAUAGGACGGACUGAUUCUAUUUCGUUGGUUUCUAGGAUCACCGUAAUGAUUAAUAGGGAUAGUUGGGGGCAUUAGUAUUCAAUUGUCAGAGGUGAAAUUCUUGGAUUUAUUGAAGACUAACUACUGCGAAAGCAUUUGCCAAGGAUGUUUUCAUUAAUCAAGAACGAAAGUUAGGGGAUCGAAGACGAUCAGAUACCGUCGUAGUCUUAACCAUAAACUAUGCCGACUAGGGAUCGGACGAAGUUAAUUUUAUAAUGACGCGUUCGGCGCCUUACGGGAAAC
rnacentral:rRNA from 1 species